UACGGAGGGUGCAAGCGUUAUCCGGAUUCACUGGGUUUAAAGGGUGCGUAGGCGGGCAGGUAAGUCCGUGGUGAAAUCUCUGAGCUUAACUCAGAAACUGCCAUGGAUACUAUUUGUCUUGAAUAUUGUGGAGGUAAGCGGAAUAUGUCAUGUGGCGGUGAAAUGCUUAGAUAUGACAUAGAACACCAAUUGCGAAGGCAGCUUACUACACAGUUAUUGACGCUGAGGCACGAAAGCGUGGGGAUCAAACAGG
rnacentral:rRNA from 1 species